AUGAACGCUGGCGGCGUGCCUCAUACAUGCAAGUCGAGCGAACGGACGAGAAGCUUGCUUCUCUGAUGUUAGCGGCGGACGGGUGAGUAACACGUGGAUAACCUACCUAUAAGACUGGGAUAACUUCGGGAAACCGGAGCUAAUACCGGAUAAUAUUUUGAACCGCAUGGUUCAAAAGUGAAAGACGGUCUUGCUGUCACUUAUAGAUGGAUCCGCGCUGCAUUAGCUAGUUGGUAAGGUAACGGCUUACCAAGGCAACGAUGCAUAGCCGACCUGGGAGGGUGAUCGGCCACACUGGAACUGAGACACGGUCCAGACUCCUACGGGAGGCAGCAGUAGGGAAUCUUCCGCAAUGGGCGAAAGCCUGACGGAGCAACGCCGCGUGAGUGAUGAAGGUCUUCGGAUCGUAAAACUCUGUUAUUAGGGAAGAACAUAUGUGUAAGUAACUGUGCACAUCUUGACGGUACCUAAUCAGAAAGCCACGGCUAACUACGUG
rnacentral:rRNA from 1 species